rnacentral:ncRNA from 1 species
CCUAGCCGUAAACGAUGGAUACUAGGCGCUGUGCGUAUCGACCCGUGCAGUGUUGUAGCUAACACGUUAAGUAUCCCGCCUGGGGAGUACGUUCGCAAGAAUGAAACUCAAAGGAAAUGACGGGGGGCCAUGAAACAAGUAGCUGGUAAAUUAAAAUUAGAACUGNAUUAGAAGCCUUUGCACAAUUUGCUUCUGAUCUCGAUAAAGCUACUCAGAAUCAAUUGGCAAGAGGUAGCCCUUAUAAAAAGAAAACUGAUUCUUGAACCCCUUUUACGCUCAUGUCACGUCGAGGUACUGCAGAAAAAAAACAGCAAAAUCCGAUCCAAUUUAUCGUA